rnacentral:rRNA from 1 species
GACGAACGCUGGCGGCGUGCUUAACACAUGCAAGUCGAACGGAAAGGCCCUGCUUUUGUGGGGCGCUCGAGUGGCGAACGGGUGAGUAACACGUGAGUAACCUGCCCCUGACUUUGGGAUAACUUCAGGAAACUGGGGCUAAUAACGGAUAGGAGCUCCUGCUGCAUGGGGGGGGUAGGAAAGUUUCGGCGGUUGGGGAUGGACUCGCGGCUUAUCAGCUGGUUGGUGGGGUAGUGGCUUACCAAGGCUUUGACGGGUAGCCGGCCUGGGGGGGUGACCGGCAACAUUGGGACUGAGAUACGGCCCAGACUCCUACGGGAGGCAGCAGUGGGGAAUAUUGCACAAUGGGCGGAAGCCUGAGGCAGCAACGCCGCGUGCGGGAUGACGGCCUUCGGGUUGUAAACCGCUUUCGCCUGUGACGAAGCGUGAGUGACGGUAAUGGGUAAAGAAGCACCGGCUAACUACGUG